rnacentral:rRNA from 1 species
UCCUACGGGAGGCUGCAGUGGGGAAUAUUGGACAAUGGGGGAAACCCUGAUCCAGCGACGCCGCGUGUGUGAAGAAGGCCUUCGGGUUGUAAAGCACUUUUAGUGGGGAUGAAAAGCCCAGGGAUAACACCUCUGGGUCUUGACCUAACCCACAGAAAAAGCACCGGCUAACUCUGUGCCAGCAGCCGCGGUAAUACAGAGGGUGCAAGCGUUAAUCGGAAUUACUGGGCGUAAAGCGUGCGUAGACGGUUGGAUAAGUCGGGUGUGAAAGCCCCGGGCUCAACCUGGGAAUUGCAUUUGAGACUGUUCAGCUAGGGUGCGGAAGAGGGAAGCGGAAUUUCCGGUGUAGCGGUGAAAUGCGUAGAUAUCGGAAGGAACACCAGUGGCGAAAGCGGCUUCCUGGUCCAGCACCGACGUUCAGGCACGAAAGCGUGGGGAGCAAACAGGAUUAGAUACCCU